rnacentral:rRNA from 1 species
GAUGAACGCUGGCGGCGUGCCUAAUACAUGCAAGUCGAGCGAACGGACGAGAAGCUUGCUUCUCUGAUGUUAGCGGCGGACGGGUGAGUAACACGUGGAUAACCUACCUAUAAGACUGGGAUAACUUCGGGAAACCGUAGCUAAUACCGGAUAAUAUUUUGAACCGCAUGGUUCAAAAGUGAAAGACGGUCUUGCUGUCACUUAUAGAUGGAUCCGCGCUGCAUUAGCUAGUUGGUAAGGUAACGGCUUACCAAGGCAACGAUGCAUAGCCGACCUGAGAGGGGGAUCGGCCAACCUGGAACGGAGACACGGUCCAGACUCCUACGGGAGGCAGCAGUAGGGAAUCUUCCGCAAUGGGCGAAAGCCUGACGGAGCAACGCCGGGUGAGUGAUGAAGGUCUUCGGAUCGUAAAACUCUGUUAUUAGGGAAGAACAUAUGUGUAAGUAACUGUGCACAUCUUGACGGUACCUAAUCAGAAAGCCACGGCUAACUACGU